rfam:uncultured archaeon A07HN63 genomic scaffold scf7180000020195, whole genome shotgun sequence.
GCGUCGGUAGUGUAGUGGUAUCACGUAACCUUGCCAUGGUUACAACCCGAGUUCAAAUCUCGGCCGACGCA